rnacentral:rRNA from 1 species
CAGUAGCCACGGGAAUACGAAGGGUGCUAGCGUUGUUCGGAAUUACUGGGCGUAAAGCGCGCGUAGACGGCUAUUCAAGUCAGGGGUGAAAUCCUUGGGCUCAACCCAAGAAUUGCCCUUGAAACUGAAUAGCUAGAGUGUCGGAGGGGAUAGCGGAAUUCCUAAUGUAGAGGUGAAAUUCGUAGAUAUUAGGAGGAACACCGGUGGCGAAGGCGGCUAUCUGGACGACAACUGACGCUGAGGCGCGAAAGCACGGGGAUCAAACAGGAUCAGAUACCCGUGUAGUCCCUGUCUCUUAUAA